rnacentral:misc_RNA from 1 species
CAGGCCUCCCUCUGCUUGGUUCCAGUCGUGGGUAUGUGUGAGGGGCGAUGCUUGUUGGCUUUGAUGCCAUCGGUGGGAAUGUGUUUAAGCAUCGGCCUUCCCUAAUGCCCACGAUGGUCUACAGUCUUGUGUAUGAGUCAGUGACGAUGCUUGUUUGUUUUGAUGCUUGCGUUUGAACUUGCUUAAGCAACCGACCAGAUGAAGUACCCAUGAAUGUCUCCCAUGAUGGUCUACAGUCUUUGGUAUGAGUCAGUGAUGAUGCUUGUUUGUUUUGAUGCUUGCGUUGGAACUUGCUUAAGCAACCGAUCUGACGAAGUACCCAUGAAUGUUGCCCAUGAUGGUUUACAGUCUUGGGUAUGAGUCAGUGACGAUGCUUGUUUGUUUUGAUGCUUGUGUUGGAACUUGCUUAAGCAACCGACCUGACGAAGUACCCAUGAAUGUCGCCCAUGAUGGUCUACAGUCUUGGGUAUGAGUCAGUGACGAUGCUUGUUUGUUUUGAUGCUUGUGUUGGAACUUGCUUAAGCAACCGACCUGACGAAGUACACAUGAAUGUCGCCCAUGAUGGUCUACAGUCUUUGGUAUGAGUCAGUGACGAUGCUUGUUUGUUUUGAUGCUUGCGUUUGAACUUGCUUAAGCAACCGACCUGACGAAGUACACAUGAAUGUCGCCCAUGAUGGUCUACAGUCUUGCGUACGAGUUAGUGACGUCGCUUGUUUGUUUUGAUGCUUGCGUUGGAACUUGCUUAAGCAACCGACCUGACGAAGUACCCAUGAAUGUUSAACCUAGUAGGGACACGUCCCUGCGCCCAACGACUUUUGUCGGGAUCGUGGCAAGUCUGCGAUCCAGGGGGUGAUGUUGAGAGCCGGAAGGCAAGGGGGUGCAAACACUAGUCGUCCUUUGUCCCGAUUGCUGAGUGUUUUGUGCUUGAUGUCCAAAGCAGGGGGUGAUGUUGAGAGCCGGAAGGCAAGGGGGUGCAAACACCAGUCGGCCUUUGUCCCGAUUGCCGAGUGUUAUGUGCUUGACGUCCAAGGCUUGAUGCUGACCCUCCAAGUGGGGCUUUUUUGUUCCUGCGGUAACGACUCUGUUGGGAUCAUUUUGAUCAAGUUUGGUUGGUUUCGUAUUGUGGUGGGUUUUUUCGAAGCUUCUAUCGUUCUUUUACGCAUCGUGCGGUGCAUCUUGGGGGCUGUUUUGGCUUUUGGUUGCUUGCUUGGGCUUUAUGCUAGGCGGGUGGCUAAU